AUGCAGUCGACGGAGCUUUUCGGAGCUAAGUGGCGGACGGGUGAGUAACGCGUGAGAAUCUACCUUUUGGAUGGGGACAACACUGGGAAACCAAUGCUAAGACCCCAUAGGCUGAAAAGUGAAAAACGAAAGUUGCCAAGAGAGGAGCUCGCGUCUGAUUAGCUAGUUGGUAGUGUAAAAGACAACCAAGGCGACGAUCAGUAGCUGGUCUGAGAGGACGAACAGCCACACUGGGACUGAGACACGGCCCAGACUCCUACGGGAGGCAGCAGUGGGGAAUUUUCCGCAAUGGGCGAAAGCCUGACGGAGCAAUACCGCGUGAGGGAGGAAGGCCUUUGGGUUGUAAACCUCAAAAAUUAGGGAAGAAAAAAAUGACGGUACCUAAAAUAAGCAUCGGCUAACUCCGUGCCAGCAGCCGCGGUAAUACG
rnacentral:rRNA from 1 species